rnacentral:rRNA from 1 species
AACAGGAUUAGAUACCCUGGUAGUCCACGCCGUAAACGAUGUCGACUUGGAGGUUGUUCCCUUGAGGAGUGGCUUCCGGAGCUAACGCGUUAAGUCGACCGCCUGGGGAGUACGGCCGCAAGGUUAAAACUCAAAUGAAUUGACGGGGGCCCGCACAAGCGGUGGAGCAUGUGGUUUAAUUCGAUGCAACGCGAAGAACCUUACCUACUCUUGACAUCCAGAGAACUUAGCAGAGAUGCUUUGGUGCCUUCGGGAACUCUGAGACAGGUGCUGCAUGGCUGUCGUCAGCUCGUGUUGUGAAAUGUUGGGUUAAGUCCCGCAACGAGCGCAACCCUUAUCCUUUGUUGCCAGCGAUUCGGUCGGGAACUCAAAGGAGACUGCCGGUGAUAAACCGGAGGAAGGUGGGGAUGACGUCAAGUCAUCAUGGCCCUUACGAGUAGGGCUACACACGUGCUACAAUGGCGCAUACAAAGAGAAGCGACCUCGCGAGAGCAAGCGGACCUCACAAAGUGCGUCGUAGUCCGGAUCGGAGUCUGCAACUCGACUCCGUGAAGUCGGAAUCGCUAGUAAUCGUGGAUCAGAAUGCCACGGUGAAUACGUUCCCGGGCCUUGUACACACCGCCCGUCACACCAUGGGAGUGGGUUGCAAAAGAAGUAGGUAGCUUAACCUUCGGGAGGGCGCUUACCACUUUGUGAUUCAUGACUGGGGUGAAGUCGUAACAAGGUAACC